CAACACAUACGAAGAAGAGGUAAUAAAGAAAAUUGAAGGUAGUGGUGAAUGUGUAAAGGUGAAGGAGGAAGAGAAAAAGAAUGUUCUGAUGCUGAGAUUAAACUAUGACUCGGUGAUAUCAACUUGGGGAGGCCAAGGUCCACCGUGGACAUCAGGAGAGCCACCAGAACGUGACAUAGAUAUCAGCAGUUGGCCAUUUGUUUCCAUGGGGGGAAAUGUUAGAGAAAAUCAGCAGAAGCAUCACGUUGGUGGAUGUUUACCUUCGAGUGGGUUUGGGAUGGAGGAAGAGAAGCUAGAGUCUCGAGGUACAGGGAGAAGAGGAGGACGAGAUUGUUUUCGAAGAAGAUAAGGUACGAAGUACGAAAACUGAAUGCAGAGAAAAGACCUCGAAUGAAAGGAAGAUUCGUUAAGAGAGCUUCCCUUGCUGUUUCUGCUAUGAACUCACCAUCAGGUGUGAAUUACUGAAUAUUCCUGUUAUAUCUCACUUUAGCUUUUUAUUUUAAAGAAGCUGAAGUUUUUGUAAGUUUUUUUUUCUUCUGCAACGACAGAAGUUUUGUUUUUUGCACUUAAUUGUGCUUUCUGGACUUGGUAUGUGCACAGGAAAACCAAUAAUGUGACUUUCUUGUCUGGAUAGAGCUGAUGUAUAUAUUAUCUGGUAAUAAUAAUGUGACAAGUCAUUUUUA